AGAGUUUGAUCAUGGCUCAGGAUGAACGCUAGCGGGAGGCCUAACACAUGCAAGCUGAGCGGUAUUUGUCUUUCGGGACAGAGAGAGCGGCGUACGGGUGCGUAACACGUGUGCAACCUGCCUUUAUCAGGAGGAUAGCCUUUCGAAAAGGAAGAUUAAUACUCCAUAAUAUAUUAAUUGGCAUCAAUUGAUAUUGAAAACUCCGGUGGAUAAAGAUGGGCACGCGCAAGAUUAGAUAGUUGGUGAGGUAACGGCUCACCAAGUCGAUGAUCUUUAGGGGGCCUGAGAGGGUGAUCCCCCACACUGGUACUGAGACACGGACCAGACUCCUACGGGAGGCAGCAGUGAGGAAUAUUGGACAAUGGGUUAGCGCCUGAUCCAGCCAUCCCGCGUGAAGGAUUAAGGACCUAUGGUUUGUAAACUUCUUUUGUACAGGGAUAAACCUACCCUCGUGAGGGUAGCUGAAGGUACUGUACGAAUAAGCACCGGCUAACUCCGUG
rnacentral:rRNA from 1 species